AACGAAUCAAUCUCAUAUGUGCACUCCACAAACGAACCUCCAUUUGCUAGCUCAUUUCCCCUCCAUACAACAUGCACAUCCUUUAAAUCUUAUGCUGGAUAGAAUGUGAAAAAUCACACUUGAAGAACAGGUGAUCAAUGGAUUCUGGAGCAGCAGAGUCACACAAAACACAUAGUGCUGAUGCAUUCUGCACUCCCCAUCUACACUGCCUAUCCUUUGUCAUCAGCUUCCCUUAAAUUGCCAUCCACAGGAUGAAAGCAAACAUAGGAACAGAUCCUUUGCCCCGACCAAGUUUAUAUCAUUCCAUCUUCAGUCCAGAAGAAAAAAGCUUCUUCAUUGCAGACCUUACAAAAAAGUCACCCGUAGGGGAGCCUAACCAGUCAACAUGAUCCUCCCUGUGCAAAUGCUGUAAGAGAGGAGGAGGAGCGUCAUCUUGGAAUUCAUUGACUUGAGAGUUACACCUCCUACCCU
rnacentral:lncRNA from 1 species